UUUAAAGAUUAAAAAUUUCAAAGAUUUUCAGUAUUUAAAAAAUCCCACAGAUUUUUUAAAGAUUGAAACCGAAGGUUUCAGUAUUUUAAAAUCUGCUGAUUUUAAAAACGCACCUGCGGAUGCUUCCCAAGUCCGCAGCACUACAAAUUCUGCUUUAAACAGAGAGGAAACUCUCAGUGAGCGGGAUAUAGUACUAGCUGAUAACAACCCCGAAGAUAACCUACAGUCUGGUAGGACU
rnacentral:sRNA from 1 species